UGUAUAGCGAAAGCUAAUUGUAUUAACUAAUAGUUAAUGCAAUAUCGAUUAUCUCGACUAAAAUUCUAGGUAGAGUAAUGAUAAUGACAUUUUUUACCUAUAGGUCUUGACCAAAUCACGUGCCAGCAGUCGCGGCAAUACGUGGAAGACUAGUGUUAUUCAUCUUUAAUUGGUUUAAAGGGUACCUAGACGGUAUAUCUAGCCCAAAAAGGGUACUGAUAAACUAGAGUUUAAUGUGAGGGGGGGAGUACUAAUGGAGUAGAGAUGAAAUUCUGUCAUACCAAGAGGUAACAGGUAUCGGCGAAAGCAACCCUUUAUGCAAAAACUGACGUUGAAGGACGAAGGCUCGGGUCACAAACAGGAUUAGAUACCCCAGUAGUCUGGGCAGACAACGCUGAAUGCCAUAGAUUAGAUUAUAUUUCUUCUAUAAAUGAAAGUGUAAGCAUUCCACCUCAAGAGUAAUUUGGCCACAUUGAAACUGAAAUCAUUAGACCGUAUCUGAAACCAGUAGUGAAGUAUGUUGUUUAAUUUGUUAGCCCUCAAAAAACCUUACCACAAUUUGAAUAUUUUUAUAUUUCUUUAUAAUUAUACAAGAGUUGCAUGGCUGUCUUCAGUUAAUGUCGUGAGAAUUUGGUUAGUUCCAUAAAAUUAACGUAAACCCUUACUUUAUUUUUUUUUUAUAAAGUUGUUCACCGCUAUAUUGGAUAUGAUAAAAGGGACUAAGACAAGUCAUCAUGGCCUUAAUAUUGUGGGCU
rnacentral:rRNA from 1 species